rnacentral:rRNA from 1 species
GACGAACGCUGGCGGCGUGCUUAACACAUGCAAGUCGAGCGGUAAGGCCCUUUCGGGGGUACACGAGCGGCGAACGGGUGAGUAACACGUGGGUGACCUGCCCUCAGCUCUGGGAUAAGCCUGGGAAACCGGGUCUAAUACUGGAUAUGACUCCAUGACGCAUGUUGGUGGGGUGAAAGCCUUGUGCGGCUGAGGAUGGGCCCGCGGCCUAUCAGCUUGGUUGGGUGGGGUGANGGCCUACCAAGGCGACGACGGGUAGCCGGCCUGAGAGGGCGACCGGCCACACUGGGACUGAGACACGGGCCCAGACUCCGUACGGGAGGCAGCAGUGGGGAAUCUUGCG